AUUGAACGCUGGCGGCAUGCUUUACACAUGCAAGUCGAACGGUAACAGGGAGCUUGCUCCGCUGACGAGUGGCGAACGGGUGAGUAAUGCAUCGGAACGUGCCGUGUAAUGGGGGAUAACGUAGCGAAAGUUACGCUAAUACCGCAUACGCACUGAGGUGGAAAGCAGGGGAUCGCAAGACCUUGCGCUAUACGAGCGGCCGAUGUCAGAUUAGCUAGUUGGUAGGGUAAAGGCCUACCAAGGCGACGAUCUGUAGCGGGUCUGAGAGGAUGAUCCGCCACACUGGGACUGAGACACGGCCCAGACUCCUACGGGAGGCAGCAGUGGGGAAUUUUGGACAAUGGGCGAAAGCCUGAUCCAGCCAUGCCGCGUGAGUGAAGAAGGCCUUCGGGUUGUAAAGCUCUUUCGGCUGGGAAGAAAUCGCACAGGCUAAUACUCUGUGUGGAUGACGGUACCAGCACAAGAAGCACCGGCUAACUACGUG
rnacentral:rRNA from 1 species